rnacentral:rRNA from 1 species
UACGUAGGGUGCGAGCGUUAAUCGGAAUUACUGGGCGUAAAGCGUGCGCAGGCGGUUUUGUAAGACAGGCGUGAAAUCCCCGGGCUCAACCUGGGAAUGGCGCUUGUGACUGCAAAGCUGGAGUGCGGCAGAGGGGGAUGGAAUUCCGCGUGUAGCGGUGAAAUGCGUAGAUAUGCGGAGGAACACCGAUGGCGAAGGCAAUCCCCUGGGCCUGCACUGACGCUCAUGCACGAAAGCGUGGGGAGCAAACAGG